ACAGUUUUUUCUUUUAGUGAUUGUGGCCACUGGCCAUUGGAUGUUUGGACUCCUUUGCAUUUAUGGACAUGGCAAUGGAUUUACAUUUACAUACAUCGCAAAAUUGAUUCUGGAUAUCUAUAUGAAGUAUUCAUAUGCUUAAGAUUUAUUUGUGCUCAUGCUCUUUAUACUUCAGAGAGAUGAUACUAUGUAUUAUUGUGAUAUGAAUACAUUCU